AAUAGAUACCCGGGUAGUCCACGCCGUAAACGAUGAGUGCUAAGUGUUAGAGGGUUUCCGCCCUUUAGUGCUGCAGCUAACGCAUUAAGCACUCCGCCUGGGGAGUACGGCCGCAAGGCUGAAACUCAAAGGAAUUGACGGGGGCCCGCACAAGCGGUGGAGCAUGUGGUUUAAUUCGAAGCAACGCGAAGAACCUUACCAGGUCUUGACAUCCUCUGCCAACCCUAGAGAUAGGGCGUUCCCCUUCGGGGGACAGAGUGACAGGUGGUGCAUGGUUGUCGUCAGCUCGUGUCGUGAGAUGUUGGGUUAAGUCCCGCAACGAGCGCAACCCUUGAUCUUAGUUGCCAGCAUUCAGUUGGGCACUCUAAGGUGACUGCCGGUGACAAACCGGAGGAAGGUGGGGAUGACGUCAAAUCAUCAUGCCCCUUAUGACCUGGGCUACACACGUGCUACAAUGGAUGGUACAAAGAGCUGUGAACCCGCGAGGGUAAGCGAAUCUCAUAAAGCCAUUCUCAGUUCGGAUUGUAGG
rnacentral:rRNA from 1 species